CAGAUGGGAUUAGCURGUAGGUAGGGUAAAGGCCUACCUAGGCGACGAUCCCUAGCUGGUCAGAGAGGAUGACCAGCCACACUGGGACUGAGACACGGCCCAGACUCCUACGGGAGGCAGCAGUGGGGAAUAUUGCACAAUGGGCGCAAGCCUGAUGCAGCCAUGCCGCGUGUAUGAAGAAGGCCUUCGGGUUGUAAAGUACUUUCAGCGGGGAGGAAGGGUUCAGCUUGAACAGAGCUGRAUUUUGACGUUACCCGCAGAAGAAGCACCGGCUAACUCCGUGCCAGCAGCCGCGGUAAUACGGAGGGUGCAAGCGUUAAUCGGAAUGACUGGGCGUAAAGCGCACGCAGGCGGUCAAUUAAGUUAGAUGUGAAAUCCCCGGGCUCAACCUGGGAAUGGCAUCUAAGACUGGUUGGCUGGAGUCUCGUACCAGGGGGGUAGAAUUCCAUGUGUAGCGGUGAAAUGCGUAGAGAUGUGGAGGAAUACCGGUGGCGAAGGCGGCCCCCUGGACGAAGACUGACGCUCAGGUGCGAAAGCGUGGGGAGCAAACAGGAAUAGAUACCCUGGUAGUCCACGCUGUAAACGAUGUCGAUUUGGAGGUUGUGGCCUUGAGCUGUGGCUUCCGAAGCUAACGCGUUAAAUCGACCGCCUGGGGAGUACGGCCGCAAGGUUAAAACUCUAAUGAAUUGACGGGGGCCCGCACAAGCGGUGGAGCAUGUGGUUUAAUUCGAUGCAACGCGAGGAACCUUACCUACUCUUGACAUCCAGAGAAGACCUCAGAGAUGAGGUUGUGCCUUCGGGAGCUCUGAGACAGGUGCUGCAUGGCUGUCGUCAGCUCGUGUUGUGAAAUGUUGGGUUAAGCCCCCCAACGAGCGCAACCCUUAUCCUUUGUUGCCAGCGCGURAAGGCGGGAACUCAAAGGAGACUGCCGGUGAUAAACCGGAGGAAGGUGGGGAUGACGUCAAGUCAUCAUGGCCCUGACGAGUAGGGCUACACACGUGCUACAAUGGCGGAUACAAAGUGAAGCGACCUCGCGAGAGCAAGCGGAACACACAAAGUCUGUCGUAGUCCGGAUUGGAGUCUGCAACUCGACUCCAUGAAGUCGGAAUCGCUAGUAAUCGUAGAUCAGCAUGCUACGGUG
rnacentral:rRNA from 1 species